rnacentral:rRNA from 1 species
UAGCGGUGGAAUGCGUAGAUAUUAUGAAGAAUACCGGUGGCGAAGGCGGCCUCCUGGAUCUGUACUGACACUGAGGUGCGAAAGCGUGGGUAGCGAACAGGAUUAGAUACCCUGGUAGUCCACGCCGUAAACGAUGACAACUAGCUGUUGGGAGACAAUGUCUUUCAGUGGCGCAGCUAACGUUUUAAGUUGUCCGCCUGGGGAGUACGGCCGCAAGGCUAAAACUCAAAUGAAUUGACGGGGACCCGCACAAGCGGUGGAGCAUGUGGUUUAAUUCGAUGCAACGCGAAAAACCUUACCUACUCUUGACAUACUUGGAAGCUCUUGUAAUGAGAGUGUGCCUUUUGGAACCAAGAUACAGGUGCUGCAUGGCUGUCGUCAGCUCGUGUCGUGAGAUGUUCCGUUAAGUCGGAUAACGAGCGCAACCCUUACCCUUAUUUGCCAGCGAUUCGGUCGGGAACUAUAAGGGGACUGCCGGUGAUAAACCGGAGGAAGGUGAGGACGACGUCAAGUCAUCAUGGCCCUUACGAGUAGGGCUACACACGUGCUACAAUGGGGAAUACAGACGGACGCUAAGCCGCGAGGUGGUGCUAAUCCUAAAAAGUUCUUCGUAGUCCGGAUUGGAGUCUGCAACUCGACUCCAUGAAGUCGGAAUCGCUAGUAAUCGCGAAUCAGCAUGUCGCGGUGAAUACGUUCUCGGGUCUUGUACACACCGCCCGUCACACCAUGGAAGUGGAUUGCACCAGAAGUAGAUAGUCUAACCUUCGGGAGGGCGUUUACCACGGUGUGCUUCAUGACUGGGGUGAAGUCAUAACAAGGUAGCCGUA